GCCGGAAUGGCGGAAUGGCAGACGCCGGGGACUUAAAAUCCCCUGUCGAGUAUCCGACGUGCGGGUUCGAGUCCCGCUUCCGGCA
rnacentral:tRNA from 1 species